AUCAACUCCUCGACUCUUCCUCUCCCAUUUCUGUACCUCUUCGGGAACAGUCUGAUGCAUGCCAAAUUGCCGUAGGCAACGAUCUGGAAGGUGUCUUUCUGCCUUGUCAUAACAUAUCAACAUGGUCUUUGAUCUCCCCAGAAUGAGGCUGCGCAAUAUAUGUUCUGGUAUGACGGUAUGACUAAUGUUUGAGUAAGGACACCAGUCAACAUCAGAUGGCUUCAUAGAG
rnacentral:misc_RNA from 1 species